CCUCCUUAAAAGAAGUGUGAAUCUUUCGUUUUAAGCGCCCACACAAUCUACUUAAUCAGUUCACCGACCGCGGGUCUGUAGCUCAGUUGGUUAGAGCGCACCCCUGAUAAGGGUGAGGUCGGAAGUUCAACUCUUCCCAGACCCACCAGGUUGCCUCCAAACCAGAGGCUUACCAAUCGGGGCCAUAGCUCAGCUGGGAGAGCACCUGCUUUGCAAGCAGGGGGUCGGCGGUUCGAUCCCGCCUGGCCCCACCAGGUGAUAAACGAUAGUGAUUUAGGCCACUAUCGUUUAUUUCUUGACGAAGUCGGGUCAGCGGACGCUCUUUAACAAUUUAGUAGUAGUGAUAUACGACGGUGAAGUCGAGCCUGUUUCAGGCGAGGCUUUACUGGGUAUACCAGCAUUUAUCAGUAGAUGUAUUCGAUAUAUCCCAAAAGGAUCAGUCUUUUUGGGGUUAUAUGAUCAAGCGACCAAGCGCGCAUGGUGGAUGCCUAGGUGGUAAGAGGCGAUGAAGGACGUUGUACCUGCGAUAAGCCUCGGGGANCCGA
rnacentral:misc_RNA from 1 species